AGCUCCAAUAGCGUAUAUUAAAGUUGUUGCAGUUAAAAAGCUCGUAGUUGGACUUGUGGUUGGGGCGGCCGGUUCGGCACUCUGUGCGGAUACUCGGCCUCCCCGGCCAUCCUUGGGUGGAAGCUGUGUGGCAUUAGGUUGUCGUGCAGGGGAUGCCCAUCUUUUACUGUGAAAAAAUUAGAGUGUUCAAAGCAGGCUUAUGCCGUUGAAUAUAUUAGCAUGGAAUAAUGAGAUAGGACCUUGGUACUAUUUUGUUGGUUUGCGCACCGGGGUAAUGAUUAACAGGGACAGUUGGGGGUAUUCGUAUUCCAUUGUCAGAGGUGAAAUUCUUGGAUUUCUGGAAGACGAACUACUGCGAAAGCAUUUACCAAGGAUGUUUUCAUUAAUCAAGAACGAAAGU
rnacentral:rRNA from 1 species